GCGCACGGCGCAGGCUGGGCGCGCCCCACGCUCACCUGCGCAGCCCGGCCGCGCCGCCUAGCAGCCGCGCCCGCCAGGGACUCUGCGCCCUUUGUUUAUAUUCCGAGCAAGAGGUUUGCAUUAUUAAGUACGUCCCAGAAUGCUCUUUUUAUUUCUGCCAGUCUUAUUUCGGGGUGGGGGCGGUACUGAAAGCCAGACGUUUGUGUCUCGCUACCUUGCAAGCCAGUAAUGACGGAGCCAAAUGCUAAUUAAAUCUGUAACCAGAUGGGUCUAAUUUGGGCAGGAAUUGAUUUUCCUGAGGCUCUGCGAGCCCUGGGGGACGUGGGCGCCAGAGCGCGGCGCAGCGGGCGGCUCGAGGGCCCCCUGCCGGGGGGUGGUGGACGCGGCGGAAACCUCAGCUGGCGGAAGCGGGUGGCUCGGCCAGCUGGGGCCAUCGGCCAGAAGCCUUGCGUGGCUCCGCAUUAAAUUGGUGGUGACGUUUCAAAGCCUGUUGGAGCAAGGUCAAGAAAAUAGCACAGCCUAAGUGGGUCUGGGCGCAGCGCGAGGAAGGAGAGCGGCGCAGUUAGACCGACCGGCGCUUGGUGGCGUCCUGCGCUGGAGCCCGGCAGCCAACGCAGACCCCACAGAACUCGGGCGUCCGACUGUCGCGUGACGCGCAAGCUUCUUCCAACAACUAGUGACCUUACUCCUGUGUGAAGAAGGACGGGGACCCCCUCAAAGGGCGUGUAUUUCCGUUUACACCAACCACCGGCCCCGCGCCUUCGCCUUGGCUUGCUGUGACUUCCGCGGCAGUUUAAAAUAACAUUUGUAAUCACCUAUGAAAUCUUACCAUGUGCCAGGCACGAAUAUGAAUCCGUGUAAUGACAAAGGCUAGAAAUCUAUAAAGAUUCCAAAUUAAAGAGGCGCACUCCUCUUCCUCUGAUUUCUCCCAGUGUACUGUGAUGGCAAUCGUUAAUUGCACUUAAUUCCAGCUUCCCCCAGUUAAGUGGUUAAAUUUUCUUUCCAAAUACAAACACAAAAUUCAAAUAGCAGUAUGAAUUCUGAAUUAGGAGGGCAAGCUAUUCUGUGGGAACAGCUGCCAUUGAGAACAGCUGCAGUUGCCAAAGAAGCCCUUGCUGUCUCUGAGAAGUGCUCUCUGCCUGCGCGGUUCUGCUCGGUCCUGAGAAUGGCGGUGUGAAGUAGCUCCUUGUGCCCAUUUUACUGGUAACACGCAAGUGGUGAGUUGGAAUGCAGAUCGUGGCUCCUCCUCCAGAAUCGGAAAACCGACCUUUUCCAUCCAGCUUCCCAGCAAACAGUAGUGCAAUUGAAACUACUUCAAAUUUUGUUCCUAAAGAGUCUUUAUCGAGGAAAGUUCUCAGCCCACAGGUAGUUGUCCAUUGAGAUUCUUAUUUACUCUUAUCAACUGAUGAUUUGCAAAAUAAGUCAGAAUAUACUCAUUACAGUGUCAGAUUCUAUUAUAAUCAAG
rnacentral:lncRNA from 1 species